rnacentral:rRNA from 1 species
AGCAGUGGGGAAUCUUCCGCAAUGGACGAAAGUCUGACGGAGCAACGCCGCGUGAGUGAAGAAGGUUUUCGGAUCGUAAAACUCUGUUUUCAGGGACGAAUGUGCGUAGUGUAAAUAAUGCUAUGUAAUGACGGUACCUGAGUAGAAAGCCACGGCUAACUACGUGCCAGCAGCCGCGGU